rnacentral:rRNA from 1 species
CCCUUAGAUGUUCUGGGCCGCACGCGCGCUACACUGAUGCAUUCAACGAGCCUAUCCUUGACCGACAGGUCCGGGUAAUCUUUGAAUCUGCAUCGUGACGGGGAUAGAUUAUUGCAAUUAUUAAUCUUCAACGAGGAAUGCCUAGUAGGCGCAAGUCAUCAGCUUGCGUCGAUUACGCCCCUGCCCUUUGUACACACCGCCCGUCGCUCCUACCGAUUGGGUGUGCUGGUGAAAUGUUCGGAUCGGCCGUUUGUCGCGGUUUCCGCGUCAUGUGGCUGAGAAGUUCAUUAAACCCUCCCACCGAGAGGAAGGAGAAGUCGUAACA